rnacentral:snRNA from 1 species
GGAUGUGAGGGCAAUCUGGCUGGACAUCUGUCACCCUUUUGAUCGCCAGAAUUGAUUCAGCUGAUCUGGUUGGCUAGGCAGGAGUCCUCAUCCUCCCUUACUGCUCCAAGAGCUUCUCUCUCAAAGAUGCGCAGUCUGUUGAAGAGGACGAACUUCCCCAAUAGAGGAGGACUGUUCUUCGGUCAAGGGUGUAGAGUAGCUAUGCUCCCUUUCUAGAACCCCCCAAACAAGCUCUCAAUAAAUAGAUUAAGCAAAGAGAGAUACAUUUUGAGAAAUCUAUAACUUAGGGGAUUUUCUAA